UUCUGUGUAAGGAUGAAGGUACCAUUUGUGAUCCCACACCAUGUGCCACCACUCCUACUUCACAUCCUGUUCUCCUUUACUCAUGGAUACUGCCUGGAACCGGGACUCAGCUCAUCUGCCUGCACACACUCCUGCUUUGUGAUUGCCAAGCAAGCAAAGGAGAGCUACAGAGGAUCACAGGGGACUGGCUGCUGGGAUAGCUUGAAACUAUGUCUGGCUGACGUGGAGAGUUGCAUUAGCUUUCACACCCAGAUAUUUUCAAGUCCUGUUGUUUAAUGGCAACUGAAGUCCUCACCAGAGUGAGAGUAGGGAAGAAGGAG
rnacentral:lncRNA from 12 species